AUUGAACGCUGGCGGCAGGCCUAACACAUGCAAGUCGAGCGGAGCGGCGGACGGGGGAGGAAGGCCUAGGAAUCGGCCCGGGAGUGGGGGAGAACGUCCAGAAACGGGCGAUAAAACUGCAGACUAUCAGAAGAGCCUAGGUCGGAUUAGCUAGUUGGUGGGGUAAAGGCCUACCCAGGCGACGAUCCGUAACUGGUCUGAGAGGAUGAUCAGUCACACUGGAACUGAGACACGGUCCAGACUCCUACGGGAGGCAGCAGUGGGGAAUAUUUGACAAUGGGCGAAAGCCUGAUCCAGCCAUGCCGCGUGUGUGAAGAAGGUCUUCGGAUUGUAAAGCACUUUCAGUUGGGAGGCGUUACCAACAGAAUAAGCACCGGCUAACUUCGUGCCAGCAGCCGCGGUAAUUC
rnacentral:rRNA from 1 species